CCAAUAGCGUAUAUUAAAGUUGUUGCAGUUAAAAAGCUCGUAGUGGAAUUUCGGGAUCAAAUUGUCGGUCGUGCCUCGGUACGCACUGUUAUUAUUGGUUACUACCUUUUGAAGCACCGCGAUGUCAUUAAUUUGGUGUCGUGGGGAAUCAGGACUGUUACUUUGAAAAAAUUAGAGUGUUUAAAGCAGGCGUACGCUUGAAUACAUUAGCAUGGAAUAAUGAAAUAGGACGUUUGAUUCUAUUUUGUUGGUUUCUAGGAUUGACGUAAUGAUUAAUAGGGAUAGUUGGGGGCAUUAGUAUUCAAUUGUCAGAGGUGAAAUUCUUGGAUUUAUUGAAGACUAACUACUGCGAAAGCAUUUGCCAAGGAUGUUUUCAUUAAUCAAGAACGAAAGUUAGGGGAUCGAAGACGAUCAGAUACCGUCGUAGUCUUAACCAUAAACUAUGCCGACUAGGGAUCGGAUGAUGUUAAUUUUUUAAUGACUCAUUCGGCGCCUUACG
rnacentral:rRNA from 1 species